rnacentral:rRNA from 1 species
UACAGAGGGUGCAAGCGUUGUUCGGAAUUAUUGGGCGUAAAGGGCGCGUAGGCGGUUCGGCAAGUCUCUAGUGAAAUCUCUGGGCUCAACUCAGAGUCUGCUGGGGAAACUGCCGGGCUCGAGUGUGGGAGAGGAGAGUGGAAUUCCCGGUGUAGCGGUGAAAUGCGUAGAUAUCAGGAAGAACACCCGUGGCGAAAGCGGCUCUCUGGAACGGUACUGACGCUGAGACGCGAAAGCGUGGGGAGCGAACAGG